UACGAAGGGGGGCUAGCGUUGUUCGGAAUUACUGGGCGUAAAGCGCACGUAGGCGGACUAUUAAGUCAGGGGUGAAAUCCCGGGGCUCAACCCCGGAACUGCCUUUGAUACUGGUAGUCUCGAGUCCGGAAGAGGUGAGUGGAAUUCCGAGUGUAGAGGUGAAAAUUCGUAGAUAUUCGGAGGAACACCAGUGGCGAAGGCGGCUCACUGGUCCGGUACUGACGCUGAGGCGCGAAAGCGUGGGGAGCAAACAGG
rnacentral:rRNA from 1 species